rnacentral:rRNA from 1 species
CCAAGGAGUCUAACAUGUGUGCGAGUCGUAGGGCUCUGCAAAACCCGAAGGCGAAAUGAAAGUGAAGGUUUUUCUCGAGGGGGUGGGGUCUGUGUCGCUCGCGUGCUGUGUGGCGUGCACUCUCCCCGCUAAGCCUCUUCUUGAAACCAAGGCGGGAUCCCCGAAGUUGGUCGGUCACACGCAAGUCUGAAAAAGGUGCCAUCGCGCUCAAACAGGCCGCCGACACGUAAAAAAAACUUCUGCAAACCGGGCGUAUGAGNGAACCCUNGGGKGCSCCCCGCCGGCCCGACUCNNCUGNGCNUUUNAAAAACGCGGCCUCUUUAUCGUUUUCGUUCGUUCGUGGUGACGAGUGCGUGUUUGCGCGCGUGCGAGUCGCUUCGUAACUUUCGUGCGGAAAGCCCGGUCCGUUUCAUCGCAAACCAGUGAGGCGGAGCAAGAGCACACACGUUGGGACCCGAAAGAUGGUGAACUAUGCCCGGGCAGGACGAAGCCAGAGGAAACUCUGGUGGAGGUCCGUAGCGAUUCUGACGUGCAAAUCGAUCGUCGGACCUGGGUAUAGGGGCGAAAGACUAAUCGAACCAUCUA